rnacentral:rRNA from 1 species
AUACGUAGGGGGCGAGCGUUGUCCGGAAUGAUUGGGCGUAAAGGGCGCGUAGGCGGCCCGGUAAGUCUGGAGUGAAAGUCCUGUUUUUAAGAUGGGAAUUGCUUUGGACACUGUCGGGCUUGAGUGCAGGAGAGGUAAGUGGAAUUCCCAGUGUAGCGGUGAAAUGCGUAGAGAUUGGGAGGAACACCAGUGGCGAAGGCGACUUACUGGACUGUAACUGACGCUGAGGCGCGAAAGUGUGGGGAGCAAACAGGAUUAGAUACCCUGGUAGUCCACACUGUAAACGAUGAAUGCUAGGUGUAGGGGGUAUCGACCCCUUCUGUGCCGCAGUCAACACAAUAAGCAUUCCGCCUGGGGAGUACGGCCGCAAGGUUGAAACUCAAAGGAAUUGACGGGG